GAGGGGGCGGCGGCGGAAGCGACGCGCGCGGCCAGGCCGGGUGCAUGAUGAAAUCGCCGCGUAAACGCCGCGGUGCGCGCGCAGCCGCACAUUCCCCACCCCCGACGCGGCGUCGGGUCGCCACCAGCCGAUUCGACACAAAAUCCCGGAAGGACCCGGAGUCCCUCAGAGACCCGAGAGGGCUUACCCCACAGUGGGCGCACGGGAGGGCUGCGAGGUCCCAAGUAGAAUCCCCCCCAGCGAACAGAUUUGCACGAUUAUGCGUCAGUGGGCCUUCAAGGACGCAGCUCCAUCCGACACAUGCUGACCGAAACUCACGAGGACCUUCAGAGCACAGGCUUGUACAGGGGCACUGACGCCCUGGCUGACCGACGGGAGUACACACUUCUGUUUGUGUUCUUUCGCCCCCUGGUUCUUAAAGGCUCAUUAGACAUCACAUCAGAUAAGGACUUAGACUCAGUGUUGCUCAGCUCAGAUGAUCCUCCGAUAAGGAAACAGAUCGAGAGGUUAAUGAUUUGCCCACCUUCACCCAUCCAUGCCUUCCAAUGUCAAGACAAAAGUUGGGGAAAGGAAGGGGAAGAAUGACGGGCUUUUUGGAGAAGAUCAGUGCUGACCAGCCUUUGAAGGGCGAACAAGAUUUGAAUCAGCAGAGAUGAGGAAAGUCUGGGAAAAGAUAAUGUGCCAGAGAGUGGAGAUGAGCGUCCAGGUGCCUGGGAUUCCCUCUGCCUGGCCUUGCUUCAGCUGACCUCCCUCUUGUAGUUAGGCCCCCGCUGAUGGACCCUCCGGAAAUGGCUUCUUCCCUUCCUCCUGCCCCAAGGGCGGGUUGGCUGCAAAAGCUGGAUUCUCUUUCUACAGAGGGAAUAGAAAAAUAAAGAAUGUAUUAGUUAUAGAAAUAGCAUUGCACACAGCCACCAGAAUGCCUAAAAUGGAAAUGAUGGAAAGUGCAAAGUGAUGCUCUGGGACUCUCUCACACAGCUGAGAGGAAUGUGGAUUUGUACAGCCACUUUGGAGAACUCUUUGACAGUGGCUACUGAAGCCAACCAUACACACCUUAUGGGUGACCAGCAGUUCCACCCUAGGAGUAUACAAGAGUAGACAAGCUCAACAGAGUGAAGUCACCUUUCCCAGAACUGUGAAAUUUCAUAUUACUUCUCUUCCUGUUCCGGUUUGUGGUUCUGGAGAAGUACACACAAUUUCCCAUGAGCAGAGCAGAACGCGGGCCUCUCUCUGUUGUGACCUCUCCCGUUGCGGAGCACAGGCUCCGGACGCGCAGGCUCAACGGCCAUGGCUCAUGGGCCCAGCCGCUCCGCGGCAUGUGGGAUCUUCCCGGACCAGAGCACGAACCCGUGUCGCCUGUAUCGGCAGGCGGACUCUCAACCACUGCGCCACCAGGGAAGCCUUGUUAUCUGUGUUCUUUUUGAUGAUAACCAUUCUGGCAGUGUUAGUACAGACACUGAAAAACGCUCACUGAUCAAUGUCCCUGUGAUGGAUGACACAUUCAUUGACCAAAUACGAAUUGAGAAGCUUCUCGGAGCCAAAUCAGAAGAUAGGCACUAGAGGGUACAGAGACAACACAGUCACUGCCCCUGGCCUCAGGGUGAGAGCAAAGCAGCCACAUAAUUGCCAUACGAUGUGGCUCCGGACGCGCAGGCUCAGCGGCCAUGGCUCACGGGCCCAGCCACUCCGCGGCAUGUGGGAUCUUCCCGGACCGGGGCACGAACCCGUGUCCCCUGCAUCGGCAGGCGGACUCUCAACCACUGCGCCACCAGUUCCUGCUUGAUUAUACUGAGGUUAAAGAUUUUUGGAAACAAUACUUCUCAAAUGAUGCUGGUGCUUCAUACUGUAUCACAUCUGGAGACACAUAAUGUCAGGAGGAGCCAGAUCAUUGCAGCUCUAUUUACAAUAGCCAGGACAUGGAAGCAACCUAAGUGUCCAUCGACAGAUGAAUGGAUAAAGAAGAUGUGGCACAUACAUACAAUGGACUAUUACUCAGAUAUAACAAGAAACGAAAUUGAGUUAUUUGUAGUGAGGUGGAUGGACCUAGAGACUGUCAUACAGAGUAAAGUAAGUCAGAAAGAGAAAAACAAAUACCGUAUGCUAACACAUACAUAUGGAAUCUAAAAAUGGUCUGAAGAACCUAGGGGCAGGACCGGAAUAAAGACACAGACAUAGAGAAUAGACUUGAGGACACGGGGAGGGGGAAGGGUAAGCUGGGACGAAGUGAGGGAGUGGCAUGGACAUAUAUACACUACUAAAUGUAAAACAGCUAGCUAGUGGGAAGCAGCCGUAUGGCACAGGGAGAUCAGCUGGGUGCUUUGUGACCACUUACAGGGGUGGGAUAGGGAGGGUGGGAGGGAGGGAUAUGUAAGAG